rnacentral:miRNA from 1 species
AGCGAGAGCCCUUUCACUCGCACUUUUCACUCGCACGUUUCCAUAAUUUUGUCCUUCAUGGUCGUGUCCAUGAAGUAAAUAUAAGGAGGUGUAGUCGGCAAAACUAAGAAAUUCGUGCGAGUGAAAAGUGCGAGUGAAAGGGCUCUCGCU